UUUUCUUUCUCCUUUUCCUCAGGUGUUGCCAGUCCAAUUUCUGAGGCUUCUUUCUUUUCUUUCUCCUUUUCCUCAGGUGUUGCCAAUCCAAUUCCUCAGGCUUCUUUCUUUUCUUUCUCCUCUGCCUCAGGUGUUGCCAAUCCAAUUCCUCGGGCUUCUUUCUUUUCUUUGUCCUCUUCCUCAGGUGUUUCCAAGCCAACACCUCAGGCUUCUUUCUUUUCUUUCUGCUCUUCCUGUUUGUAAAAUCUUCUCUAGCAGUAUAAAAUUUAGCUCCCAUUAUCCUCAACGUAUUUAAUUAUUUACUUCAUCAAUUUGCCGUUGAAGAGCUGCCAUCAAGCUGCAUUCUCUGCCUCUCCCUGCUGCAGUCUGUAUCCAGGACUGGCUUGCUGACCUGUACCUCAGAGAAAGGAAGGAAAGAGAAGGGAAAAUAGAAACAGAAGCAAUGUGUGAACGAUCCAGUUGCUCUACGUCCUUGCCAGCAGUUAGUAUGGGUUGUUAGUGGACAUCAUCCGAGCAAAACUUGAAAAGUGCUUAUAUGACUGGGCUUACCUGUACAUGUUCCUGCUUUUACAUGAGAGGCACAUGCCUCCAAUAUAACCACUGGUCCAAGAAAGAUAGGAAAUACAUGGAGAAAACCUGGUUUCUAUCUGAAGUUUGGAGCCACCCCAACAAAAAAAAGCCUGAAGAAGGGGCACUCCAAGCCACUCAAAAACACAUGAGCAAGAAAUAAAUGCCUAUUGCUGAUGCCACUGAUAUGUUAUGGUUGUUUGUUAUUAUGCUGAAAAAACAGACAAUAAAAAUUAACAAUAAUUCCUUAAUAUCAAAUACACAGAAUGUUAACUAAAUGAUUUUUUAUGUACAGUUAUUUAUAGGUUUAGAGGUAAAAUUUGCAUAUGAUGAAAUGCAUAAAUUCUAAGUAUAUCAUUUAUUGAGCUUUGACAAAUGAUAUACAACUAUGUAACCCCAAACCCUGUCAAGAUACAGAACAUUACAUCUCUAGAGAAAGUUCCCUCAGGUCCCAUCCAAAUCUAUUCUCACCCACCACUCACCCCCUCAGGCAAACACUGUUUUUGUUUUCUAUACCACUAGAGAUUAGUUUUGCCUGCUUGAGUACUUUGUAUAAAUGGAAUCCUACAGCCUGUAUUUUUGUGUGAGGUUUCUUCAACUCAGUAUGUUUUUGAGGUUCAU
rnacentral:lncRNA from 10 species